UUGUUGAGGGUUGUUGAUUGCAAAACAUUAUUAGACUCCUUCAAUAUAGUGUGAUUCACCAUUGUCAUGCUUGAGGUAAGCUUUCAUCACUGAUUUGUAACAUCAAAGUGUCUGAAGAGGGUAUCUAGCUAAGAUGUGGAGGCAUGCAUUUUUGUAGACUCUUGUAUACUUUUUUUUGUGAAAUGACCGGGAAAGGCAUUGAUACACAUGCGCAAGUCAGAUACUAUAAACUCCCUUCCAUGUUUCAGAUUCUUCAUGUAGGAAACAUGACAUUUUGACUUAAUAGAAUUAUGUGGAGAGAUUUUAAGAUGUGUAGACAUUUGAAAGUUUUUGUGUAUUGUAUGUUUGAUGAUAAUUGUGAAAGAGACCACCAUUUAUAUAGCCAUAGAAGGUUUGUGUGGUUAAUGGAGAAUGACCAUGUCCUUUCACUUGAUGUGAGUGUUAAUAGUCAUUUAAGGUGUUUCAUUUAGAUGUCUCAUUAGCAUGGCUGGAUACAUUAUAUUUAUGUGAUAUAUAUUGUGUUAU
rnacentral:lncRNA from 1 species